AAGCCCUUCGGGGCAGAAACCGGCGCACGGGUGCGUAACGCGUAUGCAACCUACCUUUCACAGGGGGAUAGCCCGGAGAAAUUUGGAUUAAUAUCCCAUAAUAUUGUUGGAUGGCAUCAUUUGGCAAUUAAAGUUACGAUGGUGGAAGAUGGGCAUGCGUCCUAUUAGCUAGUUGGCGAGGUAACGGCUCGCCAAGGCGACGAUAGGUAGGGGUCCUGAGAGGGAGAUCCCCCACACUGGUACUGAGACAGGGACCAGACUCCUACGGGAGGCAGCAGUGAGGAAUAUUGGUCAAUGGUCGGAAGACUGAACCAGCCAUGCCGCGUGCAGGAAGGCGGCCUUAUGGGUUGUAAACUGCUUUUAUAUGGGAAGAAUAAGGGGUACGUGUACUUUGAUGACGGUACCAUAUGAAUAAGCAUCGGCUAACUCCGUGCCAGCAGCCGCGGUAAUACGGAGGAUGCGAGCGUUAUUCGGAAUCAUUGGGUUUAAAGGGUCUGUAGGCGGGCUAUUAAGUCAGGGGUGAAAUAUUUCAGCUUAACUGGGAAAUUGCCUUUGAUACUGGUAGUCUUGAAUAUUUGUGAAGUUUUUGGAAUGUGUAGUGUAGCGGUGAAAUGCAUAGAUAUUACACAGAACACCGAUUGCGGAGGCAGGGGACUAACAAAUAAUUGACGCUGAGAGACGAGAGCGUGGGGAGCGAACAGGAUUAGAUACCCUGGUAGUCCACGCUGUAAACGAUGGAUACUAGCUGUUUGGUAGGAAUAUUG
rnacentral:rRNA from 1 species